rnacentral:rRNA from 1 species
GGCGGACGGGUGCGUAACACGUGGGCAAUCUACCUUCCGGCGGGGGACAACAGUCCGAAAGGAUUGCUAAUACCGCAUACGUCAGCGGCGCCUACGGGCGCUGUUGGGAAAGAUGGCCUCUCCUUGGAAGCUAUCACCGGAAGAUGAGCCCGCGUCCCAUCAGCUAGUUGGUGAGGUAACGGCUCACCAAGGCUUAGACGGGUAGCUGGUCUGAGAGGAUGAUCAGCCACACUGGGACUGCGACACGGCCCAGACUCCUACGGGAGGCAGCAGUGGGGAAUAUUGGGCAAUGGGCGAAAGCCUGACCCAGCCACGCCGCGUGAGUGAUGAAGGCCUUCGGGUCGUAAAGCUCUGUGGGGAGGGACGAACAAGCCUGGGGCUAAUCACCCGGGCCCUGACGGUACCUCCUUAGCAAGCACCGGCUAACCCUGUGCCAGCCGCCGC